rnacentral:rRNA from 1 species
GAUGAACGCUGGCGGCGUGCCUAAUACAUGCAAGUCGAGCGAACAGACGAGGAGCUUGCUCCUCUGAUGUUAGCGGCGGACGGGUGAGUAACACGUGGAUAACCUACCUAUAAGACUGGGAUAACUUCGGGAAACCGGAGCUAAUACCGGAUAACAUGUUGAACCGCAUGGUUCAACAGUGAAAGACGGUUUUGCUGUCACUUAUAGAUGGAUCCGCGCCGCAUUAGCUAGUUGGUAAGGUAACGGCUUACCAAGGCAACGAUGCGUAGCCGACCUGAGAGGUUGAUCGGCCACACUGGAACUGAGACACGGUCCAGACUCCUACGGGAGGCAGCAGUAGGGAAUCUUCCGCAAUGGGCGAAAGCCUGACGGAGCAACGCCGCGUGAGUGAAGAAGGUCUUCGGAUCGUAAAACUCUGUUAUUAGGGAAGAACAAAUGUGUAAGUAACUAUGCACGUCUUGACGGUACCUAAUCAGAAAGCCACGGCUAACUACGUG